rnacentral:rRNA from 1 species
AGUAGUUUGGUCAUGCCUUUGGUAUGUACUGGUCUCACUGAUUCCUCCUUCCUGAUGAACCUUACUGCCAUUAAUUUGGUGUUUUGGGGUAUUUGGACUGUUACUUUGAAAAAAUUAGAGUGUUUAAAGCAAGCUAACGCUUGAAUACAUUAGCAUGGAAUAAUGAAAUAGGACGUUCGAUCCUAUUUUGUUGGUUUCUAGGAUUGACGUA